UCCCUGCGGACGCUGGCUUGCCCCGCAGCAUCGCUGCCCCGACUUGAGACAACAGAAGGCAGUGUGGACACCCCUGGCCUGGCUCGUCAGGAAGUCCCCGGCCGCUCUGUUGAGGCCAUCUCAGUCAUGAAGCAAACUUUGUCUUCACACACCAGGGCCGCUCAACUUGCACAGGGCCCUUCUUUCUUCAGAGCGUGUGGGGGUUGUACUGGGUCGAGUCGUGUCCCCUCCCAAAUUUACAUCCACCCAGAACCUCAGAAUGUGCACUUAUUUGGAAGUAGGGCCUUUGCAGAAGGAAUGAGGUCAUGUAAGCCCUAAACCCAAUGGUGGUGUCCUCAUGAGGAGCAGAGAAGAGACACAGAGGCUCUGGGCGUGUGUGUGUGUGUGUGUGUGUGUGUGUAUGAGACAAUGGAGGCAGAGUUUGGAGCAGUGCAGCCACAAGCCAACGACACCCAGGGCCACCAGAAGCUGGAAGAGGCCGGGAAGGAUCCUCCCCUAAAGCUUUCAGAGGAAGCGUGUCCCUGCAGACGCCUUGGAUUCAGACUCGUGGCCUCCAGAAAUGUGACAGAGUAUCUACUGUAUGAAGUCCGCCAGCUUGCGGCCACUCGUUAUGGGAGCGCUAGGAAGUGAAUACAGGUGUCUGGGGGGAUCUGGGUGGGGCGACAGGCCAGUGUGUCUGGGCUGGAGGGCGGUACCAGGGCCGGGGUCCUCACCCUAUGUCAUCUUGACAUUCAGUGUCAGUCCCUUCCCAGUGCUGCUGGGGCCCCUGCCACCCUUUUAAGGACGUGGGACCCUGCAUGCCAUCGUCUGGAGCCUAGCCUGCCUCCCACGUACCCACCUCUUCCCCAGCCCUGGUCUCGUCCAGCCCCUGAAACCCCAGGGCCUCCCUUCAGUGUGGGCUGAUGAAGGGACAAUGAGAGGCCCCUGGGGGCACAGAGGAUUACUGUGGGGCGGGGGACGUGACCGAAAACCCGCGGUUUAAUGCAUGGAGACAGCCCCUCAUCUGCAUCUGUGGGAUCUCGGGGCCCCAGGCUCAGGUCCGUCUGAUUCAGUUGCUGUGCUUAGUUCAACUUCUUGAAAGACUCGGACGGCUGGGGCUGGGCUGGAGCGUGGAGCCCGGUGCACGGAGCGUGGCCCGGAAGGCAUCCUUGCUGGGUACCCACCGAGCCAACUGGGCUGGGGAAGGGGGCUUCUUCAGACAAGGUGAGGCAUGACGGUACUAACACACAGCAAAUGCUUAGCCCAGAUUGCUGCACUCCGCUGGAUGCUCAGAAGGGCGUGUAAAUCACACCCUUCAUGACUAUCUGGGUUACAUUCUCCGGCCAAAGACAGCCAAAGACACGGGCUUGCGUUCAACGCCUGCCAUGCUUAACCAGCCAGAGCAGAAGCCAAGAACCCUUCCGCCAGGUCUUACCAGGCUUAUCAACUGGCUGUGUGACCUUGGGCCAGUCCUGUCCCUCUCUGAACCACUAUGGUCUCCUCUUAAAACGAGGGGCUCAGGCCAGAUGCUAUCUGAGGGAUUUCCUACUUCCAUAGGCCCAUGACUGUAGCAGACUCCAAACUAGGUGUGCUUUGAACUAAAGUUCGGGGGCACGCUUCGAGCGUCUUGCUCGGAGUUGUAAUUCAGCAAGCUCUGGGCAGGGUGGACAGCAGACCUGGCCACAGGGUCCCAAUUUCCCCCGGCACCUGCCGCUGUCGGGUGUUAUUUUGCUUUGGGGUAUUUGUGUCCCUAAGAAUACGAAUAUUAAUACACACUAAAGUAGAACAUUGGAGGUUUACACUGGCAGAAAACUUCAGAUGAAAAUAUAUUGGGGGAGGUGCUGGGUAGAGGGCAGUGACCAGGGUGACAGGUUGGCAAGAAGGGAAAAAAAAAUGCAUCCAAAGUCCAGUGAGCAGGGGGGCAGAAAGCAAGGGGGAAGGGAGCACGAGGUGAGCGGGGCGUGUGUGACAGCAAAGCCGGCCAGCAGGAGGAUGGGAGGGCGGGGUCCCCACCCCUCCGAGGAACCUGCUCACCUCUGUGCAACCUGUCUGUCUGCCUUGCAAAGCCAGCCUCAUCAUCUCUGAUUACCCAGGGCCCGACGGCCAAUGGAGCUCAAAGAACUUUCUAGAAUGCUUGCACACCUAGUGAAGAGCUGUCCAGCAGAAGCAAUGCCCGGAUGAGGCAGGUGGACAGAUGGCAGCGCUCACUCAUGGAUGCUGAAGGGGAAGCACACACCUAAGGCGACCACCACGGGGACCAGAAGCCCGGGUCUGUGGCACCGGCUUUUCAGCGCCCAGGUCCCCGGGGUCAGAACGAGCCUCAGAAGGCGUCUUGCACUGGCCCUAAGGUGGCUUGGAGGGCGACGCUGGGUCAGCCGGUGCCGGGAAGCUCACUCCUGUAUGUGGACAGUUUUCUUCACGGGACAACAGGCGUAUGUGUGUGUGUGUGUGUGUGUGUGUGCACCUGCAUGCAUGGGGAGUGGGGGUGCAGGCGCCUCCCCACUGUGCGGUUCGAAGCCUCUGGCUGGAGCAAGCUUGGAGAACGACUCUGAGCCCCGUCAGCGCUUUAGGUUUCAGCUCCAGGGCCCCGGGGCUCUGCCGCGCAGGCAGAUGGGCAGUGGAGGCCACAAGGAAGCAGUGGUGGGGUGUCCACCGCUCUCAGUCUCCCCCGUGAGGCCCGAGAGGGAGGAAAAAGCAGGCCAGAACAGCUGGAUCAUACAAGAGCAGCUUCAAAGCGAUAAAAAGCUGUCAGAUGAACCAAACAAGUAGAAGGGAAAAUCCUUACAAGGGAAAGUUGACUCCGAAGGACAGAUUGCAAAAGCCAGAGACGGGGCUGGCCCCGCAGAGCAGCCGUGGACGUGCGGGUCCCUCGGCUACUCUGAACUGCCGCGACCUGCUGCAGCCCUGAGAGGCGGGGCGGAAGGGGCCGGGGUGGGAGAGGGGCCCCGCAGCGCCCGUGGACUCCUGGGUGGACAAGGCUGCAGGGCCAGAGACACCCCACCAUUCUUUUUCAGUUCGUCUGCCACUUGCCCCUUGCUGUAGCCAGACCAGCUCCUUCCUGCUCCCCUGUACUGCACCGGGUCCUGGAUCAGGCCUCUGCAGGCACAGGGGACAGGGAGCUUCCCUGCACGGCAUCCUCCCACCUCAAGGCCGUGGAAGAUUCAGAAAGCCUGAAAAAAACUUGAGGGGAAGAGCCUUUCACGGACAACUUCCAUCGGUUUCCAGUCUCUGUGUUUCCAGAAAAUUCUAUUACCUGGCCCAAGAGUGACCAAGCACCUGAAGCCUCACCUUGAGAUUCACCCUCCUGUCGAGCGGCACCUGCCCUGACAGGGCAGAGCUGACUGCACCUCGACUAACCUCCAGUUUUCCAAGGGUCAAUGAAACUGUAUUUCCUGCACCACCCCCUCCCGUCCAGUUUACAAGGUAUUCCUAAAAAGCAACAGGCAACGUGUUUUUGAUUUUUUGAAGCUCAAAAAAUUAUUUGCCAGGAACACACAAAUCAUUUGUUUUACUCUCUGGUACUUGUGCUUAUCGACACAAGAUCACUGGGAGAGAACAAGGGCAAGAUUAGUUUAAACACUGAUUUUUUUUUUUUUUUCUUUUUUACGGCCAUGGGGUUCCUGACCUCAGAACUUGUAGCUGGUUACACACUAGUUAAAUAUUACCAUUUUGAACAAAACAAAAACAACCCAGAUAUUCCUUCGGCGAAAAAACCUGGUGACUCUUCCUGAGCGACGUUUAUGUCAAGUGGAAGACGGUUCUAAUUUUAUCUGCGUUCAAUAGCAGAUUAAAACAAAUCAUGAGGCUGAAGCUGUUUACAAUUCUCUGAGCGGCUGAGGGAGAGAAAAUCACCUUGAAUCUAGCAUUUUCUGGGCACACUGCAACAGCCAGGUCCCUCAGACCAUCUGGGAAGGAAUUAAUUCCAUCUAUGUGUUAGUUUAAUAUGAAAUUGUUUUAUUUUGACUAUAUCUUCCUUCAGGCUAUUAGGGAGGAGAAGAAAAACACAGGAGAGCUGGAGAGAGACCACUUCCUUCCCAGCCUCUUCUUGCUUUGUGCUUUUGCCUUUUAAAGGUUUUACUUCUUCUGCUUGAAAAAUGUAGAAAAUGUGUACUUGAAGUACCCCCCCCCCCAAAUUAUAUAUUUUGAACACGACAAAAUUUUAGAUCCACGGCACAUUUUGACAAAAAUAUUAUUAAAAAAAAAUACCGUUUGCUUUCGCCCCACUUAAAUUGAAAUGUCAUUCUGUUUAUUUCAUAUCUUCUCAUCAGUUCAGUCUGCCAUUUGUUAGAUGUGAGAAAGUUCUGCAGACUAUUCCAGAAAAUAUUUGAAAAGAGUAAACAACCGAUCUGUAAAAUUUCCACGGAAGCACGCUUGCUUAGGUGACGGGCUCCCCGGGGGACGGGCCGCGCGGCGGGGGCGCCCAUGGCCUCUCCUGGCCCGUCCGCGGCCGGCUCCGCCCGAAGCGCCGGCCGCCCUCCCGCCGUCCCCGCCGCCCCGGCCCCGCGCGGCCUUCCAGCUGGCGAGCCGUCUCCCUCUCUGCGGCGCACGGGGGGCCGUGGGGAGACCCCCGCGGGGGCCGGACGGGGGCGCGCGGCCUGCGGCGUGAGUCCGGCCGCGUCCCACCUGCUCCGCCGGGGCCCCGCGCGCCCGCAGCCGCCGCCGCCGCCGCCCGAGCGCACGGCCAGGGCCACCUGGCGGACCGUCCUGAGCUCACUCUGCCGCCGGGCUUCCGUUUGGCUUCCAUCUGCCUCCCCCAUCCUAACUGGUUCCAGAUUUGCCACUUGAGAGGCGCGGGGACUCAGCCGAGCCUCGCUCUUGGCCUCUCGGGGACUCCAGAGCGAUGAACCCGCGCGAGCGCAAGGCCGGGCCCGCUGGGGGACCGGCGGGGAGCGGCCCGUGCGGCCGGGGCUCCGAGCGCUGACUCCGCGGCCCCGGGCACCGGCCUGGCCUUCCCGGCGCGGGGCGCAGCGGAGCCGUCCGGGGGCCGCACAGCCUCCACCGGGUCGGGCAGGCUCGGGGAGGGGUCUUCAGGGCCUCCGGCCGCCAUCGGGAGCCGGCGCGGCGGGCAGCGCUGCGCGCACCCUGGCUCCGAGGCCCUGCGCCCCCAGCAGCCACGACGCCCAGCCCUCCCGGGAGGGCGAGACCACCCACGCCGCCGCCGCCGCCGACGUGGGGACCCGGUUGUCGCCUAGGUCUGGGGGCGCUGCGGGUUGGGGGCUCCGCCUGGCCCCCGCAGCACCACCAUCUGCCACACUGUCCUCGGUGGGGAGAUCCCACGGAGAACAGCUCCGAGCCUGCCAGACCCUCAGCGCCCCGCGCCCCCAGGCCUGCCUCCGCGGCUGGGCCCCGCAGGCGCCGGGCACCGGAGGGGGAGGGCCCCGAGGGCCCGGGGCGCUGUUCCAAAGGCCAGAAAAUGGAAACUGUGCGAAAAGAAUCCCCAAAUCCGGCCGGGCCCCAAGCCCACCAGCUUACAUAAAGCCCCAGGAGCCCGCCCGCGGCCUCCCCGCCUCGGGGUGAACAAUCGGCGGGCGCCCGGCCAGGCUGCCCUGGGACUGGCACCACCACCGGCCCCCUGACCACGGGCCCGGCGUGACCCCGGGAGGGGGCAGGGGUCCCGGCCUCUUCCCACCAUCUGCCCCGAGAAACAUUUAACUGGCCUUUAAUCACAUUAGCAGCCGGCCCCAAUUAGGGCCGCGGGAGGGGGAGGCAGGAGGAAACCGCCGCCGUGUCACUCGAGGAUAAAGAUCCUUUCAUGCCCUGGGCCUGGCCGUGGGCAACGCGGCGGGCGCCAUCCCCAGCCUUUGAUUGCCGGCGCCUGGGCCUCGCCGACGCCGCCAUCUCUUUACCCGCCCCCCCCUCCCCAGCCCCCAGUGUGCCCUCGCCCUCGGGUGACCGCGUGGGGACGCAGGGCAGCGUCCGAGGCCCCGGCCCACGCCCGCGCGCCCACGCGCCCACGCGGCGGAAGUCUGGCCCCCUGCGCCCAGCGCCUGCGCACCGGAGCGCUCCCAGGGGGCGGCGGGGGCUCGAAGAGGGCCCCGGGGACGCCAGCGCCCGGGCCGGGACCCUGUGUUAUAUUAGGUCUUCCUUCCUCCACUUUCGAUGAGUGAGCAUCUAGUGCUGAACGGAUUUAAUCUUGUGAAAGGCAGAGCUUUCUGGAAGAUACAAUUCACCUGACUUCGAUCAGAUAAAAAAUAAGGUCCCUAUAGAUCAGCAUGGGUGAGGAAGAGCGCCCACCUUAUGUGAAAAGUGCGGACUCGUUUCUGCCCUCUGCCAUCGUGGUGAAGGUUUGUUGAGCAACGGACCGCUUCCCUAAGGAGCAGGGUGCUCGGCGAGAACCUACGAAGAGCAUGGGCGUGGAGGCUGACCGCCUCGAGUCCGGCCCCAGGAUUCAGCUUGGAGCCGGGACGCGCAGGUCACUGGGUGCCCGCACCUGCGUUCCCUCAUCUGCAGUGGCUGUGGGCAUCAGCGUCCUCAUCUGAGCUGUUGUAGGGAUGAACCCGCGGACCCAGUGGCUGUGAUCUUUGACCAAGGAGGCAGGAAUAUCCAGUGGGAAAAAGACAGUCUCUUCAAUAAAUUAUCCUGGGAAAACUGAACAGCCACAUGCGAAAGAAUGAAACCGGACCACUUUCUUACACCAUACACAAAAUUAACUCUAAGUGGAUUAAAGACCUAAAUGUGAGGCCUGAAACUGUAAAAAUGUAUAGAAGAGAGCCCAGGCAGUAAUCUGACAUGGACCAUAGCAACACUUUUCUAGAUAUGUCUCCUAAAAACAUGAUUUUAAUUAAAAAAAUCAUUCUGUGUGUCGAGCGUCUCUCCCGAGCCGGCGCCUUCUCUCAGGAGCUCCCGGGCUGGUCUGGCAGGAGAGAGACCCACAGGCGGAGAGGACAAAAGCAUCCUGGAUGGACACGAAGAGGCUUGCCAAUGUAAAAGGGAUAUCACGGAGGUAUAAAAAGCAAAUGUUUUCCAAGUACAGUCUCCGAUCCUCAAGAAUACCAGUAGUUUCAAAAGUAACUGUUAAACAUCAACUAGGGGAAUACUAGUGCAGGGGAGUGGCGCUUAAUGAAACGUUGAUUGGCGACUGCAUUCUUUCGAAACCGGAAUGGCUCCCAAGGGCUUCAUUGCACAACCCGGGACCCAGGCAGACCAACAGACCGUUCAGUGACUAGCAGGGUACUGCAUUUCCGACAUCUGUGUAUCUCAGCACGUUUGAUUUAUUGGAAACCCACAGCAAAAUGUCUGGGCUGAGAACACAUGACUGCGUGUCCCUUAUGUCCCUUGGAACCUCGCGCAGGAGGAGGUCUCUGGGAGUGGCUCCUUCCAGCCCCGAAUUGGAGGAGUCGGGUCAGCCGCGAUGCUCCGGAGAAGCAGGUGGCCCCCACGAGGUGCCGGGGACCACAGACGCACCUUCUCUCCCCCUCACAGCAAAGCUGCGCGAGGUGAGGAAUGACCGAGAAGGUUCUGGAACAAAGGGGCAGCCAGAUGGGAGGAACAUGGGAAAUACGGAGAAACGGUCCAAUGGGCCCAGGCAGUGUGGGAUCCCGGGCCGGAGACCCUGCACGUUCCUCCCGUGUGUGAAUAUCUUUGGAAAAUCACAGCAUUUCAUUCAACCAGACUUAUUUUGAAAGCAAGUGAGUGUUACCUGUUAAAAAUCCAAGGGAGUUGUUUUGGUCUAUACAGUAAGCAUCUCUCAGUCCCGUUUUAAGGGCCUAACCUGCUCCCCGCCCCGCACAAGGCCCUGGGGGUUCUCAAGCAGAGCGGGUGGCUUCCUGCCCACAGGGUAUUCAUCACGAGUAGGGCAGCCGAGUGCGUGAACCUGGUCGGUAGGGUGCACAGUGCCAAGGAGGAGAGGAAAUGCAGGUGGGGUGGGCGCCCUGGAGCAGGAGGUGGUGAGCCCCAGAGCAGGAGUGGGCGUGAGCCCAGGGCUUGAGGAAGCAUCCUGAGAAGGGAUGGGUGCAUUUGGCGGGGGGGUGAUCGAGGGUGCAAGGCUGCGGAGGUUGGGGGGCACCUCAUGACCUCGGGGGCUUUGUGUGCCGCGUCGAGCUGGCGCUGGCCGCGGGGAGGGGCGAGGACCCAGGAUGCCUCCUAGGCUCCCCUCUGGGAGCCACAGGUGCCUGGCAGCUCAGGGUGGGUCCCGCCUACUGGGGAGGGAGGGAUGGGCACUUGGGAGCAAGCGCGGGCGGGAGCGGAGUCUGUGGAAUUCUCUCCAUCGGGAGGACCUGGGAGCCACUGCCGAAGCCGUUGGUUGGAAACACGAACUUACUGCCUUGGGCAGAGUGAGUCGGGGUACAGGGGGUAGGUUCUCCAGGGCAGAGCUGUGACUUACGCAUCUCGGGGUCCACUGUAGUGCACACAGUCGGCGCCCAGUCAAUAUAUUUUAACUGGAAAUACUUGCCCCUGUUUCUAGAGACCAUCAUAGGCAAUGCUCUUUCCGCAAACUUCUCUUACUCAGUUUUUAUAAAAGCGCAUCAUCAUGACAGAGGAAACAGGCUUAGGAACAUGACACAGGAUGUGCCCCAGGUCUGUCCGGUUUGUGUCUUCUCCAUUUUCCUAGCUGUUCUUUGCCGAGUCACCCCCCCCAUCCCCCCCACCCCCCAAAGAGUAGUAUCUUUUGAACCGCACGUUAGCCGCCUAGACGCUAAAUUCAAGGAAUGAUUAAUGCCGCGUUCUACUGCGUACCUACCAUCUACCAAAGCACAUGGACGGUGUGUGGCUGUUGCCCUUUGGGAACUCAUGGUCUAGUUUCUUGGCUUAAGGUGGUGGAAAUGGGACGUGAUUGACUUCUCGGAAGAAGUGAGACCCACAGAAGGGUUGGGGGCCGAGCAGCCUCAGUGGUCCUCUGUUUGGAAACCCUGUGGCAGGACCCCCACUGCCAGGAGCCCAGGAGAGCCGACUCCGGUAGCGCGCCCCCUCCCCCCCACCCCCCAUGCAGAGUUCGCUAGCCUCGCCCGCCCGGAACUGACAGCGAAGGGGUUAAAAUAACAAAUAAAUGACUUUAUUUAGACUUGAGCAUUUCUGGCAGUUUUUCUGGAUUUUUUUUUUCCCCGCAGUAUUUGAUGUGACAGCUUUUGUUUGCUUGCGCUUGUCUCUUUCGAAUUUCUCAUAUCAGCGGUAAAAGCUAUUUCUUUUUCCUGUAACAUCUUGAGCUUGGUAUCCAAUGAAGGGAGAAAUUGCUCUUACAUUACUUGAAAUUAUAAUAUUAUACCUAAUUUUGGGGGGAGAAAAAUUAGAGUAAUUUAGAUCUCCAGGCACUGAGGAUUUUGCAGACAGGUCAUUUGCAGCACUGUUGCUGAUUAUUCAUCCAUAAAAGUGUUUUUACCGCGGGGGAGGCUCCAUCAUUUCUGGUGUUCUUUAGAAAUGCUGAUUUUCGCGGCCCAUCCAGGAGAAGGACGGUCAUCAUCCAUCUCGAGCCAAUGGUCUGGCUUUGAUGGGGCUCGGGCCGGGGAGCCGCCGGGUCUAUCAGCGGGAUAAUUUGUUUGAGUGGCUAAUGAGAAAUCUUAAGUGACAUGUCUCAGGGGUGGGGAGAGGAUGAAGUGCAGAGGGGCCGGUCCCCGGAUCUGCGUGGCUGCCAGCCGGUGUCUCCUAAACUUUUCUGUGUAUAUGGCGGAAAGCACAGCCUCCCCCUGCAAAGAAGGACACGGAGGAGCCACAUGCCAGUGGGAUUCUGUAAUGUGGGCUGCGGUGUAAACAGUGGUACAGUUGAACUGGGGGCUGUUCGCGAAAAACCCGUAAGUAAUUAAGCGCUCCCUCCAGCAAGGUGAGAGCCGAGGCUGAAGUAUAUUAGUACAAAAAAAAAAAAAAAAAAAAAGAAAGAAAGAAAGAAAGAAAAGAGUGAAACCUUUGUUGGUGGUGGUACUCUCCCUUUUUUCUUUCUAAAUGUAAAUAAAUAAGGAAUUCUG